rnacentral:rRNA from 1 species
AUGGCCCCACCUGCGCAAUGCUUGGACACGGUCACCGGUGCAACCGGCCAGAAUGGCACCGUGCCAGUGAUAGGGCACACGCCGGAGAAGAAGAUGCAAAGCCCCAACCUGCUUGACGCCGACGAGUUCCGGCGCCAGGGUCACCAGGUAAUCGACUUCAUAGCCGAGUACUAUGGCGGCAUGGGUGACUACCCCGUGCACCCCAGCGUCACCCCCGGCUUCCUCCGCAACCGGCUUCCCUCGGAGGCGCCGUCCCGUCCGGAGCCGGACGCGUUCAGCUCCGCGCUCAAGGACGUCCGCGACAUCAUCCUCCCAGGCAUGACGCACUGGCAGAGCCCCCGCCACUUCGCGCACUUCCCGGCGUCGAGCAGCACCGUUGGCGCCCUCAGGGAGGCGCUCACCGCGGGCAUCAACGUGGUCCCCUUCACGUGGGCCGCUUCGCCGGCCGCCGCUGAGCUCGAGAUGGUGGUGGUGGAUUGGCUCGGCAAGGCACUGCACCUUCCGGAGAGCCUCCUCUUCGCCGGAGGCGGAGGGGGCACGAUUCUUGGCACCUCGUGCGAGGCCAUACUCUGCACUCUCGUCGCUGCAAGGGACCGGAAGCUCGCUGAGAUCGGCGAGAGCAGGAUCUGCGACCUCGUCGUCUACUGCUCGGACCAGACCCACUUCGCCUUCCGCAAGGCAGCACGCAUUGCCGGCAUCAAGCGUGACCACUGCCGCGCGAUACACACGUGCCACGGGGACAUGUUCGCGCUGUCGCCCACAGAACUGCAGGCCGCCAUGCAGGCCGACGUGGAUGCCGGGCUUGUGCCCCUGUUCUUGUGCGCCACGAUCGGGACGACCCAGACCACUGCCGUCGACCCCAUCGGCGAGCUCUGCGCCGUGACUGCGCCGCACGGAGUGUGGGUCCACGUGGACGCGGCAUACGCCGGCUCCGCGCUGGUCUGCCCGGAGUUCACCUACGUGAUAGACGGCGUGGAGGCCGUGGACUCGUUCAGCAUGAACGCCCACAAGUGGCUCCUCACCAACAACGACUGCUGCGCCAUGUGGGUGAAGAAGCCGAGCGCACUGGUGGCGGCGCUCGGGACCGAGCAGGAGUACAUCCUCAAGGACGCCGCGUCGGAGGGCCACGACGUGGUGGACUACAAGGACUGGAACAUGACGCUGACACGCCGGUUCCGCGCGCUCAAGAUGUGGCUCGUGCUCCGCUGCUACGGCAUCCAGGGCCUGCGCGACCACAUCCGCUCCCACGUGCGCAUGGCCGAGGCGUUCGAGGAAAUGGUGAGAGCUGACGAGAGGUUUGAGGUUGUGACUGACAGGACGUUCGCGCUGGUGUGCUUCCGGCUUCGCCCGCAGGACAAGUUCGGCGGUGAGAAGACGGCCAACGACCUCAACCGAGGCCUCCUGGAGGAGGUGAACGCGGUCACGUCCGGCCCCUACAUGAGCGCCGCAAACGUAGGCGGUAUGUUCAUGCUAAGGUGUGCCGUGGGGAGCACGCUCACGGAGGAGCACCAUGUCGACGAUGCAUGGAAGGUUGUGCAGGAUCGGGCCUCGGUGAUCCUUCGUAAGAUGGAGAUCAUCUACACCUCUAAGUAA